AUUAUUUCAGUUACUCAUAUGGUUUUAUUUAUGUAAGUGUGUGCUGGACCAUGAUACACACUGUCCUUCUUGCUAUGGGAUGCUCUGAAAGCCACUGCUCUUAAACCACAGUAAACUGAGCAACAGAAGGGUCCAUGUGCCAGAUGGAGAGGCCCACACAAGAUCACCCACCGUUUCUGCCCUGCACACGCACAGCGAUGACUCUUCAAGGCCAGGCUGGAAUCCCUCUCUGACAGCCUCCCACUUUGUUGCCUUGUCUUUUCAGAUUGACAGCCAGGCAGCAUCUGUGUUAAAAAGAACUUCCCCCAUUUCUUAGAACUGCGUGCGAGGCUGAGAAUUCUGGAGGUGGCUUCCAAGAUAUUUACAGCUCUGCCAUCAGUUUAGAAGUUGUUGUUCCAUCUUUCAAAUCUUUCUUCUGCCUGCUCAACCUAGAGCAACCCUCUUCAGCAAGAAUGUGGGGAUCUUGUGGCCUCUGCCUGUUCCGUCGUUCCCAGUCUAGCAGAGCAAUGUCAGCAUGAACCUGUAGACACGAGUGAGUCUCGUUCUGUAAUCUCCAGAAAAGAUUUAAAGAAAUCUUUUCUCUUAAGCCAUCGACAGUUUGGUAGGACACACCUUUGUGAAGAAAAAUGAAACAUUUAUCUUUUCUCUGUACCUGAUCCCUCCAGAAUUUGGAAACACUCAGAGAAACUCAACUACAAUCUCAUAGAUCUAGGCGAGACUUGGAGACCACAUUUUACACCCCAUCUACUCUCCACUGAUUACCAUUGCCAAAGGCUUUGUCCCUUGGAUUCAUGUUGUCCAUGUGACCUGUUGAUAAAAAGUUUAUCCCUAACCAUAGCUACACUGGCAAAUUCUACCGCUCGAACCUUAGCUCAACAACAACGAUUCCUGAUCCCCUAGUCAGGGUCAUAUUAGAUAAUCGCAUGGCACUCACUUAUUUCCUUGCAGAACAGGGUGGCAUCCAUGUUGUAACCAACAACCUCUGCUGUACCUGCAUCAACUCUGCUGGUGACAUUGAGAAAUAACUUGGAAAAAUUAUUAAAAUAUCACAGGAUGUCUCCAGUCCAAUGUCUUUCAAUGACACUCUCUGGUUCCCUAUCGAUGUUUUCAGCUGGCUUCCUUCAGGUAUAGGUGCUUGGAUGAGAGGAGGACUUCAAACACUGCUUAUGAUUAUUAGAAUUGUGCUAUGUGUAUUUGUAUUUAAGCUUCUUAUGCUACUACUCACUCAGAUCUGCUCCAAGUUAC
rnacentral:lncRNA from 1 species